ACGGCUCAGUAACACGUGGCCAAGCUACCCUCUGGACUGGAACACUCUCGGGAAACUGAGGCUAAUUCCAGAUAUGGCUUCCAUCCUGGAAUGGAGGAAGCCGAAAACGCUCCGGCGCCAGAGGAUGCGGCUGCGGCCGAUUAGGUAGACGGUGGGGUAACGGCCCACCGUGCCGAUAAUCGGUACGGGUCAUGAGAGUGAGAGCCCGGAGACGGUAUCUGAGACAAGAUACCGGGCCCUACGGGGCGCAGCAGGCGCGAAACCUUUACACUGCGCGACAGCGCGAUAGGGGGACUCCAAGUGCGAGGGCAUAUCGUCCUCGCUUUUCUGUACCGUAAGGAGGUACAGGAAUAAGGGCUGGGCAAGACCGGUGCCAGCCGCCGCGGUAAUACCGGCAGCACGAGUGAUGGCCGCUCUUAUUGGGCCUAAAGCGUCCGUAGCUGGCCGCGCAAGUCCAUCGGGAAAUCCGCACGCCUAACGUGCGGGCGUCCGGUGGAAACUGCGUGGCUUGGGACCGGAAGAUCCAGAGGGUACGUCCGGGGUAGGAGUGAAAUCCUGUAAUCCUGGACGGACCACCGGUGGCGAAAGCGCUCUGGAAAGACGGAUCCGACGGUGAGGGACGAAAGCUCGAGUCACGAACCGGAUUAGAUACCCGGGUAGUCCGAGCUGUAAACGAUGUCUGCUAGGUGUGCCACAGGCUACGAGCCUGUGGUGUGCCGUAGGGAAGCCGUGAAGCAGACCGCCUGGGAAGUACGUCCGCAAGGAUGAAACUUAAAGGAAUUGGCGGGGGAGCAC
rnacentral:rRNA from 1 species